UGGGAAGUGGCCUGGGGUCAUAGGGAGGCAUUGGGUAUAGCCAAAACAACUGAAUCAUGGCCUCACAGGAACACCAGAGAUCUCCUUGAGUAGCCUUCUUAGAUCAGAUGACUGGUCACUCCAAGUCUUUCCCUCCUCUGAACUAAUAGUAUUCAUUAUCAGUUGCCUAAAUUUCAUCUUUUCCAUGAACUCUUCACUGACCAGCCCAUUUGGAAACAAUCUGGACCUCAUCUGAAAUCCAUGAUCCACAACUUCACUGGUGUAAGAAACUCCUUCUAGUGAUGCAGAUUGAUAGACACUUCAAAGAAGACUGAAUUCUUCUGAAUAUUCUGGACCACAGAAACAAAGUUCCAGUAUUUUGCCUGUUUACCAGAUACUGGCAGUGAAAUUUCAACACAUAAUACGCUACUUAAACAGUUCUUGUCUUG